UACGGGGGGAGCAAGCGUUGUUCGGAUUUACUGGGCGUAAAGGGCGCGUAGGCGGCUGUUCAAGUCGGGGGUGAAAUCCCGUGGCUCAACCACGGAAUGGCCUUCGAUACUGGACGGCUAGAGACCGGAAGAGGUGAGUGGAACUGCGAGUGUAGAGGUGAAAUUCGUAGAUAUUCGCAAGAACACCAGUGGCGAAGGCGGCUCACUGGCUCGUAUCUGACGCUCAGGCGCGACAGCGUGGGGAUCAAACAGG
rnacentral:rRNA from 1 species